AAUGCAAUUGAAAUUUAUGCCCACAAAGUAGGGGAGGAGCUUGAUACAUUUUAAAAUAAAACUUAAUUGUUGUACAAGAUUAAAUUUUGAAAUUCUAAAAUUACUCUGGGCUAUCUCAAUUAGCUAAAAGAAACUUUUAAUAAAAAAUCUAAAUUUCAAUUGGAUAACUUUAUAUGUUAUAUGAGAAUAAAAUGAAAUUAAGUGCUUUAUUUUGUAAUAUCUAAUUUUGGCUAAGGGUUCAAAAUAAUCAUAAGUAAACACAACUUAAUUGAUAAGAUUUGUCAUAUGCAUCAAAGAAAGCUUCUCUGGAUGAAGACAAAAAGAAAGUAUACCUGUGGAAAUAUUUGUUUUGUAAUAUUUACGUAUUUUAAUACACAAUCUUAGAAUUGAUGCUACUCUGUACUUAGCAGAAUUUUCUCAGACUUUACAUCUUGACAACCAAAGAAAAAAUAUGUUCUUAAUUUAAAAUAUUGGGAUGAAAACUCAACUUCAGUAUAAAAACAAAACAAAAACAACCAGUUUUAAAGAUGGGACUUGAAUACCCACCUCCAGCCCUUUGAGGAUAUACAAAAAGGAUAUAAAAAGAUGCUUAAUAUCACUCUGCAUCAGGGAAAUGCAAGUCGAAACCACAGUGAGAUAUCACCUCCCACCCUUUAGGAUGCUACUAUCAAAAUAACAACUAUUGUUUGAUUCCACUUAUUUGAGGUUCCUAGAGUAGUCCAAUUCAUAGAGACUAAAGCAGAACAGGGGUUGCCAGGGAAAGGGUGGUGGGAGCAACUUAUUUGAUGGGUAUAGAAUUUCAGUUUGGAGUCAUCAAAAAGUUCAGGAGAUGGAGAGUGGUGAUGGUUGUAGGAUACUGUGAACAUACUUAAUUCCACUGAAUGCUUCACUUAAAUGAUCAAUGGUAUAUCAUGCAUAUUUUAGCACAAUAUAAACGUUUAAACAUUUUUUUCAAACUUGAGAUCUACAGAGGACAGCCAAUUAUUUUCCAAGUUAUUAACCAUGAAAUGCUAACAUUUCUAGUUCAAAUUCUAUGUGCCAGGGUCCAAACACAAUCUGGGGAAUGCAUAUUAGUAAUCCACAGUUGGUAGGUAAUAAAACAUACGGAGGUUAAGAAUUUGCCCAGGAAUAUACCUCUGGUAGGGAGUGAGCUUGGACUCAAAUGUGAGCAGGCUGCCCCGUCCGUGUCCCUCCUGGCGUUUGACAUUCUCCAGCCCGAGUCUAUAAAACGUUAAUCCAAGACCACACACGUGGUUAGUAUUUUUUCACUUACACAUUUUCCCCACCAAAUUGUAGCUGUAACGCAUGAAAGAAAUCCAAGAAAUAUAUUGUCAUUUUCUGUAACAGUGUCGUCUUCAUCUGUCAUAAAAGUAGGGGACAGAGAGGUUUCCUUCAAGCCCAACCCCGCCUGAAAUAAGGUGACUAUAUUAAACAGGGCAGGAAAUCAUAAGACCUCCGUUACACAUGCAGCAAUAGAGCCGCCAGCUAGGUAAAGAAUUUUCACCAUGAAAAUACAACCUUGCUUUGCAUCAUGUACAUUGUGCAUCAUGAGCAUUAUGGAACAACUGUAUCACUAUCAAUGAUGACACGUUCUAACUGCACACGCUUCCAGCUUUCCAAGGUAUCGCUUCAUCUAUUGUCUCUGACUUUAUCCUCAGUGCAACCUUGUGCAAAUGAAGACAAGGGUAUUAAGCAAUUUGCUUAAUGGCAGAUCUGGGAAUAAGAACCAGAUCCUCUUGGGUGUGUUCAAUAAUUACUUGUUUAUAAACUGACCUCUUGGGAUUCUCCCGGAGAAAAAAUGCGAUGAAUCUUAGGCCAGCUCACAGACUCCCUUAUGUCAAUUUAAGUUAAAACAAAGUUACCCAUUUAAAACAUUUUUUGAUUAUGUGAUAAUUUUAUUCAUAAAAUAUCCCCAGUUAUUGUAGUCAAAUUAAGUUAAGAAAUCCAAUCUCAGCUCACGCCUUGAAACCUCAAAUUUUGAAUGGGUUAUGAUGAUCUGUGCCCCAGACAAGCCAUACCAUAAUGUCUGCUCAAUGUAGGCAUAAAUCUUAUUAAAAUAUGAAAGCAAAGGUGAAAGAUAAAUUAAGCAGCGAUAAGAAAAUGCUAUUUUAUUAUUAGAAUAAAAGAAUCAGCUGUAAUGACAACUAAUAAAAAUGAAAAAAGAUACAUGAUUAAAAAACGCUAAAUACUAAUUAUGGGAUCUGAAAAGUUGAAAGAAGAAAAUUCAUAUUAGGUAAAAGCAGAAGGAAGAUCAUUUAUAAAGUCCAUUGGAACAUUUAAAAUCCGGAAAGGAGAUGACUAUACAUGUAAUGAAAUGGAUAUUGGGAAGCCAAUAAAACUAAUGUGGGUAUGAAUUUUCUAAGUGAGAGUUUAGCUUAAAAACUAAUAUUUACUACAGAAUUUUGGCAGAAGUAGGUUUUAUGUACCCAAAUCUGUGGACGAAUCACAUAAUUUCUUUUAAUAAUUCAAAACCAUUGAGACCCAGACAGACUAAUUGAUUAGGCCCAAAUCACACAGUUCGACUGAACCCAGGAGACGCAUAAAGACGCAUCCUAACAUUUUCAGGGCUUGAUAAAGAGGAUGCAGACGCCCACAUACCUCGUGCCCCAGGCCUGGUCCUACCCCUGCUUUUCCCUCCCCAGAUUCCUUCCUGCACCACUGGGGAUACACAUCUGCAUCUGUGAACACUUCAGCCGGCAAGUCGAGAUCUGCCUCCUCCCCUGAACCACCACCUCCUGUGCACCUCUCAGACCUAGAAGCAAGCCACCCCCAUGACACAGGCCAGGAAGGUGGGGCAGAGGAAGAGGCCACGGUGGGCUCUAAAGCUAAGGAGUCUUCCAGUAGGAAAUUCAGGGUCUCAGGUACCCAGAUCACAGGGCAGAAGCUGGGCUUGGCUCUGGGUGGACUCUUCUGCUUGACUCCAGGGGUUCUUCUCACUGCAGCCAGGGGCAGGGCUAGACUACGCCAGAGCAGUUCCUCUCAUGCAUGGCCACUUAGCUAAGCCUUCCUUUCCCAGGCUUAAGAGUGGCACUUUUUAUAAAUGCCGAACAUUCCUAUAGUAUUGUUGGAAACCAAAGCAGUUUCACACACAUGAUAUCACUGGACCUUCCUGGGACCCCCAUGAUAUAGAAAAAACAGGUGUCACUGAGAAAAGUAAGAAGCAGAGAAAAGGACUCAGUUAGAAAGAAGCAGAGCUCAAGUUUCACCCUGUCCACCGCCAUUCUGUUUCUGUUCCUGCCCUUCAAUAACUACCCACAAUGUCACUCUUUAGGGUGGGAAAGCCACCUGCUAGACCACAACCAAAGGGAGGGACCUGAGCCUGAGCCCUCAUCUAAAAAUCUGGCUUCAGGAUUUUGGAAACAUUCGAGGUGAAUAAAGUUAAGAUUCCACAUACCCUGGAGUUCUCUUGUGGCACAGCAGGUUAAGGAUCCAGCAUUGCCACUGCAGCAGCUAGGGUAGAUGCUGUGGCGUGGACGUGAUUCCUAGCCCAGGCAUUUCCACAUGCCCUGGAUGCAGCCAAAAACAAAUAAACAAACAAACAAAGAUUCCGCAUACCCUACCAUAGAUCACUAACUACCUGAGACUUCUUGAGCUGCCAUAACAAAGGACCCUAGACAAGGUGACUUGCAUCACAGAAAUGUAUUUUCUCACAGUUUCAGAGCCUUAAAGGCCAAAAUCAAAGUGUCUGCAGAUUCCAUGAGAGUUCCCUUCUGGGCUGUGGGCAGCUGACGUCUUGCUCUGUCCUCAGGUGCCUGUCCUUCAGGCAUGCAAAGAGAGAGAGAACUCUCAUGUCCAUUCUUAUGAGGACGCUAAUCCUGUGGGGUCAGAGCCCCCUUAUGACUUCAUCUAAUCUUUGUCACCUCUUCACUGGCUUAUCUCCAAAUACAGUCACAUUGGGGGUUAGGGCUUCAGCUUAUUAAUUUUGGGGGGGGGGCGGGGGGAGAUACAGACAUUUCUCGUAAAGCAUUAAUCCAGAUAUACGUUUCUAUUACAAAAGUAGGGUCCAAUACGUCGUCCAUCACCCUAUUCUGCAGGUUCUUUUAUUAGAAUUGAUUAAAUUCCACAAACAAUUGCCUAAGAGCACUUGAAGAGUUUUACACUCUAGAUUGAUCUAUAGAUAACUGCAAACAUGUGUUAAGCGUGGUAUAGACGGGCACAGAACAUUCCUCCUGCUUCUGUCAUGAGCAAAACCUAGCUCCAGACCCCUCCACCUCUACCCAGCAGCCAUGGGUCGGGUGUCUCAGCUGCUGCUGUGUCCCCCAUAACAGGGAUAGACGUACCUGCAGUGAUACCUGCAGUAUCCUUAUAGACAAGUUCUAUUCUGCCAAAAAAUUAAUCAUUCUUUAUUUAUUACAGUCAGAACAUAUGUAUUGCUCCAGAAACUGCCCUAAGUGCUAGGGAUAGAACAACGCGCCAGCCACUGGGUCUGUCCUCGUGAAGCUCACAGUCUACUGAUUACAUAGCAAACGUUUUCCUGAGCCAUGGCAUUCAUGUUUUUGCAGUAAUGUUAUUUCUGCCCAUAUGGCCCAGCUGCAUCAAACUGUCUCCUGAUAUUGGACCCUGAUAAUUUUACAGUAAUGAAGCUGCUACGCUAAAUAACACUGUCCACAUUUUCUGUCAUUUUCUUCCUGAUUUUAGGUUUUAAUAUGGAUUAAUCCUGCUAUCAAUGGAAAUAAGUUUUAACUGACACAAGAGAAUACAUUUUGAACACUGUUAUAACAUGAGUAGAAUAUCUGUCUUUUGCGUUCACAGAAGAAAAUUCGCACGACCAGCUGACUGCACAGUUGUUAAGACGGGAUAUUUUCUUCUCAAGUUUCAAUGGUUGAUUUGCCACUUUUCUCAGGUCUUUAGCUCAAAGCUGCUUGAUUUUGUGCCCUGUUAUUUACUUAUUUGUUUUUUGCCUUUUUCUUGUUAGAGCCGCAACCAUGGCAUAGGGAAGUUCCAAGGCCAGGAGUUGACGCAGAGCUGCAGCUGCACCACAGCCACAGCAAUGCUGGAUUGGAGCCAUAUCUGCCACCCGUGCCAGAGCUCACAGCAACAUCAGAUCCUUAACCCACUGAGCAAGGCCAGGGAUCAAACCGGCAUCCUCAAGGGUAACUAGUUGGGUUCAUUAUUGCUGAGCCACAACAGGAACUCAUUGCACCCUUUUAAUAGUGGCUUUGUUGUUCUGUCUGAAUGCGUUGAAGAUUUAUUUAUUUAUUUAUUUAUUUAUUGUCUUUUUAGGGCCACACCCAUGGCAUAUGAAAGUUCCCAGGUGCAGCCCUAAAAAGACAAAAAAUAAAUAAAUAAAUAAAAUAAACCUACAAAAUUAAAAAAAUUUAAUUUGAAAGUCCAUUUACAUAGACACAUAAAGAAUUACAUCAUUGACCACUGCAAUUGGACAAAGGCUGUCAACUUUAAGCUACCUU
rnacentral:lncRNA from 1 species